GGGUAGUUUAAGACUAUUUAGAUUUUAAAAAUAUACUGUAAAGGAAUAUAAGUGUUUUUUAUGCCUUACUAUUGUUUUGUUUUGGAAAUUAUUACAAUAUGACAAAAUUAUUACAUUUUAAUUAAAAUGUUUUUGGUGAGUUCAUAGUGUAAAAAAUUUCUCAUAAUGUAAAAACCGUUAUUACAUUAUACAUUAUUGUUACCGCAAAUUAUGUCCAGGAUAAUGAUCAUUACUGGAGCUUAUGAAUAGGAGAAAACCACGUAAGACUACUAGUCACUGCUUAUCACCGUCUUAGCAAGUGUAUGAAACGUGACUAAAUAAAACUAUCAUCUGGUUAAGAGCAAGCAGUAGGCGGCCGAACUAGAUGAUAUUAGUAAACCCUGCAACCGCUGACUAUGAACGGAACUGGCGAUUUUGUGUCCGUGAGAUCUAUGUAAUCGUCCGGCAUAUGACUCUGAGCAACAAUCAGGAUCUGAAUGAAAGGAUAAUGAAAGUUAGGACGAUUCAGAGUAAUCAAUAACUUAAAAAGAUUACAUUAAAAGAAUGAUCAGAAAUCAAUUAGAGCUUAAAUCUAAAUUAGAGGUUCAAUUUAAAUUGGAGUCAGAUAAAAUUAAUAACAAUUCAAUUGAGUCAAUUGAUAAAGUGCAAAUUAAUAAUAAGUGUUUUUGCUUCAGCACUCAGAAAAGACAGAACAAUGCAGAAACAUUAAGGGGCCAUUCUAUUGGAAUCUGACAUCGGACCAGUAGUUUUAAGCUACCCCCUUUUUUUUUUACAAAGUGGUGACGUGAUGUCUUUUCAGCGCGACAUUCAGUUCCAUUCCACACAGUACAUGAGGCUUGAGCUUCUGUCUCCAGCUGCUGUGGUAAGUCCAUUCUUUUUGCCUAUUAGAAGUGUUGAGGGAAAGCACAGGUGCACCCCAUUUAUACACAUAUAUAGACCCUUUUAGUGCCGACGUCACAAUUACGUAACGGCGUUAGCUGGAGGCAAAACAAAGGGAAAACUGGAGGCGGCCAAUUCAAACCAGCACAGAGUCAGCUACAUAAGGAGCUUAAAAUGUCAUCUUGUGUUGUUGGGUGCCAGAAUCGACGGAGUACAGGCUCCAAUUUGAAAUGUUAGCGCAUACCUGCUGCCACUGCCAGACAAAAAAAACUACGACAGCUGUGGUUAAACGCAAUAAAACGAGCGGACUGGACAGAAACGAUCAUCAAAAAUGCUCGCGUUUGCAGCGCACACUUCAUAUCAGGUAAGGUUAAAUAAACUAUUGUCUUUUGUUGGUAUGGAUUAUGGUUUGGUUACGUGUCUAAAGAUUUCUCAUGCAUGCCCACCUAAUCAGAAAUUGGGGAACAAGUUAAGUGAUUUCUCACGUAACGCUAACUUUUUUAGCGCAUAAGUUAGCUAACUUUGUUAGCCAUACAACUAGCAGUUAGCUAACUGCUAGCUAAUUACUAGAGACUAAACAUAAAGGAAACUGUUUGUGUCGUCUCCCUUUCUACAGUUGCCUUAAGUGCAAUUGUGGAUAGGGAGAGGGGACAGUGAGAAGGCCCGGACUUCGUCCCCUCUGUGUUUUCUUAUAAACGGCACAGUGACAGGCCUGUGGAAAAGCUGGAGAGGCUGGAAAGGAAAAGGGAAAGUCUGACAGUGGAGCAAGAGGUUGCCAUGCUGAUGAUGAUCCAAUGACACCAGAGGAACCAGUGGAAGAAGCUGAGGCUAUGGUCCCUCAAGCAGCAUACAACAGUCUCAGUGAGAAGUAUGACCAACUCAACACUGAAUAUGUCAACUUGAGAAAAUACUUUUACCAACUCAAAGAGGAGAAUCAAAGACUGAAAGAGGAGCUUCAGAAAUCACGCUUCUCAUUCUCCACGGUCAAAAACAAGGCUGCACACUUUCUGUUUCUCACUGGGCUAACUUCAGUCAUCUUCAGUUGGUUAAUGUCAAAAAUAAAAGACAGUGUGCAGAAGCGAACUGAAAGUCUCAUGCUGGAAGAUCAUUUAUUAGUGGUCCUUAUGAAACUGAGAUUGGGGCUCAGUAACAGAGAUAUAGCAUAUA